rnacentral:rRNA from 1 species
GACAAACGCUGGCGGCGUACCUAAGACAUGCAAGUCGAACGGACUUGCUGACUUCGGUUAGCAAGUGAGUGGCGAACGGGUGAGUAACGCGUAGGAACCCGCCUCGACGUGGGGGAUAACACUUGGAAACAGGUGCUAAUACCGCAUGUGGUCGAAAGAAGAAAGGCCCGCAAGGGUCGCGUUGAGAGGGGCCUGCGUCCGAUUAGCUUGUUGGUGGGGUAAAGGCCUACCAAGGCGACGAUCGGUAGCNGGUCUGAGAGGAUGGUCAGCCACACUGGGACUGAGACACGGCCCAGACUCCUACGGGAGGCAGCAGUUAGGAAAUUUUGCCAAUGGGGGAAACCCUGAGCGAGUAACGCCGCGUGAGGGAUGAAGGGUUUCGGCUUGUAAACCUCUUUGGAGCGAGACGAACGAUUCUCCGGUGAAUAAUCGGGGGAAGUGACUGUAUCGCUAGAACAAGUCACGGCUAAUUCUGUGACAGCAGCCGCCGUAAC